AUACGUAGGAAGCGAGCGUUAUCCGAAUUUACUGGGCGUAAAGUGGGCGUAGGCGGCCUUUCAAGUUGGAUGUGAAAUCUCCUGGCUUAACUGGGAGGGGUCAUCCAAUACUGCUAGGCUUGAGGACAGCAGGAGAAAGUGGAAUUCCCGGUGUAGUGGUGAAAUGCGUAGAUAUCGGGAGGAACACCAGUGGCGAAGGCGGCUUUCUAGGCUGUUUCUGACGCUGAGGCCCUAAAGUGUGGGGAGCGAACAGGAUUAGAUACCCUGGUAGUCCACACCUUAAACUAUGGAUACUUGGUAUAGGGAGUUUCGACCCUCUCUGUGCCGAAGCUAACGCUUUAAGUAUCCCGCCUGGGAACUACGGCCGCAAGGCUAAA
rnacentral:rRNA from 1 species